rnacentral:rRNA from 1 species
AUCCAUAUAAAUACCCUAAGUGCCCCAGAUCCCAUUUGAUCUUGGUAGCUAUGCAGGGUCAGCCCUGACUAGUACUUGGAUGGGAGACUCUCAACAAAUAACAGGUGCUGUAGAUU